rnacentral:rRNA from 1 species
AUUGAACGCUGGCGGCAUGCCUUACACAUGCAAGUCGAACGGUAACAGGUCUUCGGAUGCUGACGAGUGGCGAACGGGUGAGUAAUACAUCGGAACGUGCCCGAUCGUGGGGGAUAACGCAGCGAAAGCUGUGCUAAUACCGCAUACGAUCUACGGAUGAAAGCGGGGGAUCGCAAGACCUCGCGCGGACGGAGCGGCCGAUGGCAGAUUAGGUAGUUGGUGGGAUAAAAGCUUACCAAGCCGACGAUCUGUAGCUGGUCUGAGAGGACGACCAGCCACACUGGGACUGAGACACGGCCCAGACUCCUACGGGAGGCAGCAGUGGGAAUUUUGGACAAUGGGCGCAAGCCUGUUCCAGCCAUGCCGCGUGCAGGAUGAAGGCCUUCGGGUUGUAAACGUGCUUUGUACGGACGAAAAGUUACUCUCUAAUACAGGGGCGAA